CCCUUAGAUGUCCGGGGCUGCACGCGCGCUACACUGACUGGCUCAGCGUGUGCCUACCCUACGCCGGCAGGCGCGGGUAACCCGUUGAACCCCAUUCGUGAUGGGGAUCGGGGAUUGCAAUUAUUCCCCAUGAACGAGGAAUUCCCAGUAAGUGCGGGUCAUAAGCUUGCGUUGAUUAAGUCCCUGCCCUUUGUACACACCGCCCGUCGCUACUACCGAUUGAAUGGUUUAGUGAGGCCUUCGGAUCCGCGACUCGUUUUGUGGAGAAGUUGGACAAACUCAGUCAUUUAGAGGAAGUAAAAGUCGUAACA
rnacentral:rRNA from 1 species